rnacentral:misc_RNA from 1 species
AAAGUCGUAACAAGGUUUCCGUAGGUGAACCUGCGGAAGGAUCAUUACAAAUCCAAAGUCACCCUUACCGGUCGACAACGUUGAACCCCCCCCCCCGGUGCGCGUGGUGGCGGCGGUGGUCGUGUGGGUCUCUUCACCGAGCCCGCCCGCCCGGCCGCAUGCCGCCACGCGCGCCUAUUUGACACACCUGCCGAUACGAACGACCACGAACGUACCAACAACAACAACAACCUAGAAACAACUUAUAACAAUGGAUCUCUAGGCUCUU